CUCAAAGGAAACUGGGUGGUUUAUCUCAAUGAUUAUCAAAGGACAGACACAGCCACGCAGCUCUGUUGGCAAGUCUCGCUGACUGUCAUUUAGCUUAGGGAGAAGGCCUCCCCCCAAAUUCCUACAGGCUCCGAGUCUCAGCUCUGGCUAGUUCUGUCAGAUAGUGGCCCCCCACUUCAGUAAUCUGCUCAUAAACGCUUCCGAGGGUCCUCUCUGGAUCUAAGAAGUGUGGCCUGUGAGCUAAGAGGCUUGCCUACAGCCUCAGAUGGUCCCAUCUCUAAAGGCAGCCUGACAGUUUUAGCCGAACUUUGUUGUCCAUUCCAUUUCCA
rnacentral:lncRNA from 1 species